GUUAUAUGGUCAAGUGAAGAAGCGCAUACGGUGGAUGCCUUGGCAGUCAGAGGCGAUGAAAGACGUGGUAGCCUGCGAAAAGCUUCGGGGAGUCGGCAAACAGACUUUGAUCCGGAGAUGUCUGAAUGGGGGAACCCAGCCAUCAUAAGAUGGUUAUCUUGUACUGAAUACAUAGGUGCAAGAAGCGAACCAGGGGAACUGAAACAUCUAAGUACCCUGAGGAAAAGAAAUCAACCGAGAUUCCCUUAGUAGUGGCGAGCGAACGGGGACUAGCCCUUAAGUGGCUUUGAGAUUAGCGGAACGCUCUGGAAAGUGCGGCCAUAGUGGGUGAUAGCCCUGUACGCGAAAAUCUCUUAGUCAUGAAAUCGAGUAGGACGGAGCACGAGAAACUUUGUCUGAAUAUGGGGGGACCAUCCUCCAAGGCUAAAUACUACUGACUGACCGAUAGUGAACUAGUACCGUGAGGGAAAGGCGAAAAGAACCCCGGAGAGGGGAGUGAAAUAGAUCCUGAAACCGUAUGGUACAAGCAGUGGGAGCCCACUUUGUUGGGUGACUGCGUACCUUUUGUAUAAUGGGUCAGCGACUUAUUUUCAGUGGCGAGCUUAACCGAAUAGGGGAGGCGUAGCGAAAGCGAGUCUUAAUAGGGCGUCUAGUCGCUGGGAAUAGACCCGAAACCGGGCGAUCUAUCCAUGGGCAGGUUGAAGGUUGGGUAACACUAACUGGAGGACCGAACCGACUACCGUUGAAAAGUUAGCGGAUGACCUGUGGAUCGGAGUGAAAGGCUAAUCAAGCUCGGAGAUAGCUGGUUCUCCUCGAAAGCUAUUUAGGUAGCGCCUCAUGUAUCACUGUAGGGGGUAGAGCACUGUUUCGGCUAGGGGGUCAUCCCGACUUACCAAACCGAUGCAAACUCCGAAUACCUACAAGUGCCGAGCAUGGGAGACACACGGCGGGUGCUAACGUCCGUCGUGAAAAGGGAAACAACCCAGACCGUCAGCUAAGGUCCCAAAGUUAUGGUUAAGUGGGAAACGAUGUGGGAAGGCUUAGACAGCUAGGAGGUUGGCUUAGAAGCAGCCACCCUUUAAAGAAAGCGUAAUAGCUCACUAGUCGAGUCGGCCUGCGCGGAAGAUGUAACGGGGCUCAAACCAUACACCGAAGCUACGGGUAUCACGUAAGUGAUGCGGUAGAGGAGCGUUCUGUAAGCCUGUGAAGGUGAGUUGAGAAGCUUGCUGGAGGUAUCAGAAGUGCGAAUGCUGACAUGAGUAACGAUAAUGGGUGUGAAAAACACCCACGCCGAAAGACCAAGGUUUCCUGCGCAACGUUAAUCGACGCAGGGUUAGUCGGUCCCUAAGGCGAGGCUGAAAAGCGUAGUCGAUGGAAAACAGGUUAAUAUUCCUGUACUUCUGGUUAUUGCGAUGGAGGGACGGAGAAGGCUAGGCCAGCUUGGCGUUGGUUGUCCAAGUUUAAGGUGGUAGGCUGGAAUCUUAGGUAAAUCCGGGAUUCUAAGGCCGAGAGCUGAUGACGAGUUACCUUUUAGGUAACGAAGUGGUUGAUGCCAUGCUUCCAAGAAAAGCUUCUAAGCUUCAGGUAACCAGGAACCGUACCCCAAACCGACACAGGUGGUUGGGUAGAGAAUACCAAGGCGCUUGAGAGAACUCGGGUGAAGGAACUAGGCAAAAUGGCACCGUAACUUCGGGAGAAGGUGCGCCGGUGAGGGUGAAGGACUUGCUCCGUAAGCUCAUGCCGGUCGAAGAUACCAGGCCGCUGCGACUGUUUAUUAAAAACACAGCACUCUGCAAACACGAAAGUGGACGUAUAGGGUGUGACGCCUGCCCGGUGCCGGAAGGUUAAUUGAUGGGGUUAGCUAACGCGAAGCUCUUGAUCGAAGCCCCGGUAAACGGCGGCCGUAACUAUAACGGUCCUAAGGUAGCGAAAUUCCUUGUCGGGUAAGUUCCGACCUGCACGAAUGGCGUAACGAUGGCGGCGCUGUCUCCACCCGAGACUCAGUGAAAUUGAAAUCGCUGUGAAGAUGCAGUGUAUCCGCGGCUAGACGGAAAGACCCCGUGAACCUUUACUAUAGCUUUGCACUGGACUUUGAAUUUGCUUGUGUAGG
rnacentral:rRNA from 1 species